GAUACCUAAAAGGUUAUUGUGGCGGAGGCUUAUCUCGCCAAUGCUCAGCGACCAUGAAUCAGUUACCCAUUGUUCUCGUGGUUUUUCUUUUGAUUACUCCUCUCUCUUUUAUCAGAGGGGACGACUCUCCAUGCUGGUCUAUGAAUGGAAGAUGUCAGUACACAUCCGAACCUUGUUUUAUAUAUAAAGCGGGAUAUUGUGCUGGACCAACCAACAGACAAUGUUGCGUUCUUGGAAAGGAUAUACAAUGCUGGAACAGAGGUGGAAUUUGCCAAAACAAUUCGAAUCGCUGUAGUGGCCGAUAUCUGAGAGGUUAUUGUGGCGGAGGCUUAUCUCGCCAAUGCUGUGUGUAACGACACCUGCUUUUCAAUUCCCAAUUUCUGAAAAUAAAUCGAAAAGUUCAAAUGAUCUGCGUCGUAUUUUUAUUGAAAAAAAAAACAUAAUUUGCAAUGUUUUGAAGGAUGCAUAAAAUUUUGUGAUCAAAUUUGUGUUAAGACAUAUC